CUACACAUGCAGUCGACGGUAGCACAGAGGAGCUUGCUCCUUGGGUGACGAGUGGCGGACGGGUGAGUAAUGUCUGGGAAACUGCCCGAUGGAGGGGGAUAACUACUGGAAACGGUAGCUAAUACCGCAUAACGUCGCAAGACCAAAGAGGGGGACCUUCGGGCCUCUUGCCAUCGGAUGUGCCCAGAUGGGAUUAGCUAGUAGGUGGGGUAACGGCUCACCUAGGCGACGAUCCCUAGCUGGUCUGAGAGGAUGACCAGCCACACUGGAACUGAGACACGGUCCAGACUCCUACGGGAGGCAGCAGUGGGGAAUAUUGCACAAUGGGCGCAAGCCUGAUGCAGCCAUGCCGCGUGUAUGAAGAAGGCCUUCGGGUUGUAAAGUACUUUCAGCGAGGAGGAAGGCNUUGUGGUUAAUAACCGCAGCGAUUGACGUUACUCGCAGAAGAAGCACCGGCUAACUCCGUGCCAGCAGCCGCGGUAAUACGGAGGGUGCAAGCGUUAAUCGGAAUUACUGGGCGUAAAGCGCACGCAGGCGGUCUGUCAAGUCGGAUGUGAAAUCCCCGGGCUC
rnacentral:rRNA from 1 species